CAGUAGCCGCGGUAAUACGAGGGGGGCAAGCGUUGUUCGGAAUUAUUGGGCGUAAAGGGUGCGUAGGCGGUUUGGCAAGUUUGGUGUGAAAUCUUCGGGCUCAACUCGAAGUCUGCAUCGAAAACUGCCGGGCUUGAGUAUGGGAGAGGUGAGUGGAAUUUCCGGUGUAGCGGUGAAAUGCGUAGAUAUCGGAAGGAACACCUGUGGCGAAAGCGGCUCACUGGACCAUUACUGACGCUGAGGCGCGAAAGCUAGGGGAGCAAACAGGAUUAGAUACCCCUGUAGUCCCUGUCUCUUAUAU
rnacentral:rRNA from 1 species